rnacentral:rRNA from 1 species
AUGAACGCUGGCGGCGUGCCUAAUCCAUGCAAGUCGAGCGAACAGACGAGGAGCUUGCUCCUCUGACGUUAGCGGCGGACGGGUGAGUAACACGUGGAUAACCUACCUAUAAGACUGGGAUAACUUCGGGAAACCGGAGCUAAUACCGGAUAAUAUAUUGAACCGCAUGGUUCAAUAGUGAAAUCCGGUUUUGCUGUCACUUAUAGAUGGAUCCGCGCCGCAUUAGCUAGUUGGUAAGGUAACGGCUUACCAAGGCAACGAUGCGUAGCCGACCUGAGAGGGUGAUCGGCCACACUGGAACUGAGACACGGUCCAGACUCCUACGGGAGGCAGCAGUAGGGAAUCUUCCGCAAUGGGCGAAAGCUUGACGGAGCAACGCCGCGUGAGUGAUGAAGGUCUUCGGAUCGUAAAACUCUGUUAUUAGGGAAGAACAAAUGUGUAAGUAACUAUGCACGUCUUGACGGUACCUAAUCAGAAAGCCACGGCUAACUACGUG